GACGAACGCUGGCGGCGUGCCUAAUACAUGCAAGUCGUGCGGACCUUUUAAAAGCUUGCUUCUCAAAGGUUAGCGGCGGACGGGUGAGUAACACGUGGGCAACCUGCCUGUAAGACUGGGAUAACGUCGGGAAACCGGGGCUAAUACCGGAUCGUAUUUCCACCGCAUGGAGGAAAUAGGAAAAGCGGGUUCUGCUGCCACUUACAGAUGGGUCCGCGCCGCAUUAGCUAGUUGGGGGGGUAACGGCCCACCAAGGCAACGAUGCGUAGCCGACCUGAGAGGGUGAUCGGCCCCAUUGGGAACGAGACACGGCCCAAACUCCUACGGGAAGGAGCAGUAGGGGAUCCUCCGCAAUGGACGGAAGUCUUACCGGGCAACGCCGCGGGAGUGAAGAAAGCCUUCGGGUCGUAAAACUCUGUUUCCGGGGAAGAAAAAGAUCUGUACGAACAGGGCGGCGCCUUGACGGUACCCGGCCAGAAAGCCACGGCUAACUACGUG
rnacentral:rRNA from 1 species